rnacentral:tRNA from 3 species
AGAAAUUUAGGUUAAAUAUAGACCGAAAGCCUUCAAAGCUCUCAGUAAGUUAGAUAAACUUAAUUUCUG